AUUUAAUACAUCGGGAUGUCGAACUACCAACAGAAAAAUAGAGAGGGGAAACUUCUGCCAGGAGACAUGAGGGGCUGAGCCCUUGUGGGGUCUCUAGCCCUCACGGCUCCCUGCCCCUCACCGCUUCCCUGAGGGGCCCGAUCCCAAACGAAGAGACCCGGACCCCCCAGUGGGCGUCCUCUGCCCCGUCCCUGUCCCUCGCUUCUCCACGGGCGACCUCGGGCCGGGACCCCGCCGCCAUGAGGCUCCUGAGGUUGGGCUGCCACCGUCCCCGCCCGCGACCCCGGGAGGGCGCCUGGGGCGGAGGGGACAACAGGAACUGAAGUGCAAUUGAAACAAGGAAAACAUCAAGGUUGUGAGGUGGCAGAGAGGAACUAUUCAUCCCUGCUCUGAUAGUCCCCCUGCUCUGAGGAGUUAAUGCUGCAUGAGGAGCCCUUUGGCACAGCUGGCAGGAACUAACACCUUCUACUUCUCAAAGCCAUCAGGGACAUCUGUACAAGGACCCGAGAAGAAACCAGCUCCUUGAAUAGAAGCCAAGCAGGAUGGAAGGAACCUCUGCUAGAAAUCACUGAGUGCCUGUUUGGCUUUAAACGGCCACGCUGCAGCUUGUGCAAACUCCUGCUGCUUGAGGGGAGGGACAAGUGAUGACACUUGGGGCAGACUUUGGGAAGCCAAACAGCAACCAAGAAUGCCAUGUUGUGGGAAUGACUGCUCACCUCACUCACAUCUGAUCCUAUAAAUGUCAAACAAUGAAAAGAAAAGGAGAAAAAAAAAAAAGUGUCUCUUGCCCUUGUUCAUUUUCACAUUUCACACCUCCAUUUCUGUCUGCCCACUUGCUUUAGCCACGGAAAGAACUGCAUGAGAAGUGAAACAUUUCCCUGGGAAGCCUCAGCACCGCUCAUGGAGAAAAGCCGGGUCCUCCAGAGGAUGUUCCAGAGCAGCUAGCUGGUACCUGAAAUCACAAGACAUCCCUCCCUGCUAUUUCUCUGCAUUAACUGCAGAAUAUUCCUCCUCCCAGCUUUUCAAAUCUGUGUGCCUGAAAUGGGGCCAACAUAAACCCAAUGUUUUUCAAGGUGCAGCAUCCAUGCUCCCACAGCCUGCUGCCUUCCACGUUACUUCCACUGCCUGGUCGGUGUGGAAAGGCGGGAUACCCUCUGCCAGGGCAGAAGAGGAAAGGACAAGCUUCACAUUGGGUACGCAGGAGUGGAAAACCACGGCUUUUUGCUUUUCAGGGCAUGAGGCGUUCUUCCCAAAACCACGCCAGUGGGUGUGCUCUUAAGCAGCUUCCAUGUGGAUGUGGAGGUGGGCAUGCCGGAGCAGCAGCAUGGCUCCCAAGGACAGCAAGCAGAGCUCUGCGCUUGGGCACUCCGGUUAAUGAACUGAAAACAUCAUUAACUAAGCCAAUAUCAGCCUAAUGGGAAAUCUGUCUCUGCAUAUGCUGCCUAAUUUUUAUAUUAUUGAACCAACUAACAAUUGUUUAAUCAACAAAGCCAGCAGGAAACCUUCAAAUAGCAGGAGAGUGAAGAGACACGCACAUGUCGGCCGAUUAAUUUUGUGCAUGCUCAAGCCACUCAGGUUUCCCAUCCCCAACAGGGCUUUCCACUUCUUGUUGGGUGACACCUUUAGUUUCUUCAGGAGGAGUUUCUGUGGUCAGCUGGGGGCUAACAGUGUGUGUCUACAUCCACCGCUUUCACCUCCACACUUUCCUUGUGACCAGCUGCAUUACAGGAGCUGUUGCUUGGUUGACUUGGAUCCCACUAAUAAUAACCACAACACCAUCUGAACAUGUGUUUUCUAUUCAGAAGGACUGAAGAUUUUUUUUCUGCAUU